rnacentral:rRNA from 1 species
UACGGGGGGAGCAAGCGUUGUUCGGAUUUACUGGGCGUAAAGGGCGCGUAGGCGGCCUCUGCAAGUCGACUGUGAAAUCUCCGGGCUUAACCCGGAACGGUCAGCCGAUACUGCAGGGCUAGAGUGCAGAAGGGGCAACUGGAAUUCUCGGUGUAGCGGUGAAAUGCGUAGAUAUCGAGAGGAACACCUGCGGCGAAGGCGGGUUGCUGGGCUGACACUGACGCUGAGGCGCGAAAGCUA